UAGUGGUAGAGUUAUUUUAUACCGCUUGGGGAGGAGGUUGUGGAAAUUACUCAUUCCUCAUCUUCUGCCUUCUAUUGUCUUCAACUAUGCCAAAGAUCCCCUGGAAACUGCUCACUGAAAUAACUCAGAGAAAAAUUAUUAAUGCACUUGAUGGAGAUCAACUCAGAAAAAAGAAACUGCCUAUCAAGAUGUGUUCCUGACCACCUGGAACACUGCGUAACUGGGCAGAGAAGAGAGUCCUUUUACCCACAUUCCCUUAUCCGGCUUCAUCCUCCUUCCAGGAAAAUGGCUUUGAUAGAACUUUCAGCCUCAGGUCCAACACAGUGGCUCAUGCCUGUAAUCCCAACACUUUGGGAAGCCAAGAAAUGUGGAUCACUUGA